rnacentral:piRNA from 1 species
UAUCAAUCUCUAAGGCCUCCAAGUCAUGGU